UUCAUUUUAGGCACUGAAAGUCACGGAUGGCAAGUUACCAGUCACUCAUCUGUUGAAUUCCAAUGUGUUUCAGCGUUAGAAGCAACACCUCAAAAGACUCCUGCGCGGGAAGAGAGAGAGAGAGAGAGAGAGAGAGAGAGAGAGAGAGAGAGAGAGAGAGAGAGAGAUUGAUUUCAAGCUUCCUUUUGCCUUUGUGGGAAAGGAUAGACUAAAGGAAGAAUAAGAAGACCAUCAUACUGUCUCAAAGGUAGCAAGAACCUGAAUAACAGCAAAUCCACGAGGCUGUGAGAAGACCAAUGAGAAGUGCAAAUGACGGAGAUGUGUGGACUUUGGGGACCUCACAAGCCAAUCACUGCCCACUGUUUUUCUCUGUUCUACCCAAGUGUACCAGACAUUAGUUUAGCAGAUCCAGAAUUUUUUAUCUUCACAAAAAUCAAGAAAUCUUACAUUACCUUGUAAAUUCUGGAAGCAAGUUUUUAAAAUAAAUAUAAUACACCGUGAAGGCCAAAGGAAACUCUUCAGUAGGGCAGGUCCUGCCUGGCAGUUCAGGAUCUCUUUAAAGAUUAAAAGCCUAUGAGUGCAAAACUUACGGAUGAAAGUGGGUGGGAGUUGGGGUGAUAAAAAUGGGAGUCUGGUGGUUGUAUACAUUAAGACAGACUGAAUCUUUUCAAUAAAGAGUUACAGAGAGAAGAUCGUUUAUUAGUGCUUGGUGGGGGUGGGAGAGAGCUCUGCACCAGCGGAGAGGUGGUCUCCAAGCAAACUCUGAAAGUGACUCCGAGGAAAAUGGAUCCUGGAAACAUGUUCAACUGCAUGCUUCAAGAUCAUGCCUGACCCAGACUUUGGAGUGGGGACUUGAGAGAUCACACCAGGAGAACUGCCUCAAAAUCUACUGUUUUCGGUUGGGUAUGUCUGGACACUGUUACUCUCGACCUUCCAUCUGAACCCAGCAUCGCAACCAGCAUCUUUACAAGAGGGAAGAGAGGCAGAAGAAUAAUUUUACAACAUUGUAAUCAGAGGAUUAAACACAAUUAUUUGAAAGAGGUAACUGCAUUCUGGAACUGACCUGACUUCCAAUAUCUGAUGAAGCCAGUGAUGGGCAACACAAGAAAAU
rnacentral:lncRNA from 1 species